CCUGUCUGCUUCAGCAAAACAUCACAUGACAUAACUGAGUCUCCAAAGAAACCAGGAACUUCCACUUCAGGGACCAGUGGUUAUUGUUUAAAAACCCAGAGUCCCAUGAGGAAAACAGCGGCCAGUCCUAUUACAGCACCACUGUCCCUGAGAAAAUGGGAUUCAGCAGCUGUGAGGAGCGCCUACGCUGAAAUUCCAGCACUGGAGGAGGACUACUUAACAAACUGCAACCAAUGGCAUCAACCACCAAUCUACCAACCUGUGCCUCCUGCAUCAAGGCCAUAACAUUUAUAUAUCUAUAAAUAAAACUAUUAUUCAUCUGAA